rnacentral:tRNA from 1 species
AGUGGCGCAAUGGAUAGCGCGUUGGACUUCUAAUCCAAAAGUUGCGUGAGUAAAU